rnacentral:antisense_RNA from 1 species
GGUCCCUCCAAGGCUCUGGCACUGUCCCCGCUUUUGAACUAGCUGGCCGCACUCUAGGUUACGACCUCGUGGCCUGGGGCAUGACUACAUUUCUCGACCAUUUCCUCUCUAUCUCUUUCUGCGGCUUGACGCCGCCCCAGUCCUUACCCUUCCUUUUUGGCGCUACAGUUGCUGCUGGAGGAUGUGGUCCGGCUGCGGGGGUCCUCGCGGCGCACCAAGGCGAGACGCUCUGGUGACAAGUAGCGGCGGACACUGCUAAAAGAGAGCACACAGGCGACGCAGAGCAUCCGCCAGCGCCGCCUUUAGGACCGCCAGCUCGUCUUCCUGUAACUGCAGCCGCUGCUCCAGCGCCGACACGCGGUCGUCCACUUCCAUACCGCUCGUGCCCGACAAAUUGUCAUCUGGAAGACGGGGGAGUGCCGGCUGCAGGGCCACCCAGGAGCUCCAGUGCCCAAGGGGUCCCUCCCGCCUUCCUGGGUCUAAGCGGGGGGCCAGCCACGCCCCUUUCCUGUCCCGCUACCUGGGGCUGGGACACUUGGACAUGGGCCAAGGAAGAGGACUCUGAAGGGGGAAGGAAAUCCCCACAGCUCUCCAACCCAUCCCCACACUCCUCUCUGCCGCAGCGCGCUGGCCGUGUGACCUUGGGGAAGUCCCUUCCCUCUUAUUUUCUAAGAGUCUGUGAACCCAGGAGCCUCUCAUUCUGGCUGUAAGAUUCUAUAACUAAGAUGUGACCAGGCGCGGUGGCUCACGCCUGUAACCCCAGCACUUUGGGAGGCCGAGACGGGCGUAUCACGAGGUCAGGAGAUUGAGACCAUCCUGGCCAACAUGGUGAAACCCC